rnacentral:sRNA from 1 species
AUGUACCACUGUCUCAUUGUGGUUCCGGGCGCGCCGUGCCGCCGGAUGACUGCUCGCUAUGUGUUGUUCGCC